CUGAUCAUGAUGAUCGGGUUGUGCCAUUACACUCAUUAAAGUUAUUAGCGGUAAUUAAGAACCAAUCUGACCUCAUUGAUAAAAGACGAGUGUUUUACUCAGACAUAAGAGAUGACAAUCCAUUGAAUUCCAUUGUGUCAAAAGUGAAAAUUGUGCAACUUGCGGCAAAAGCUGACUUGGCUGAAAAAGAGAAUACUUUUGUCUUCAGACUUGUAUUAUGAUAUGGCAUAUUCAUUGCCACACUUUUCGUUUACAACUCUAGAUACAGCUACAGCAAAUCCAGAAAACUUAAAGAUGGAUAGUGAUGCAUCCUCAAUAAGUGAAGCUAGUUCAAAUAGUGCACUAGGAGACAACUGACGCUGCAAAGUCUUCCCAAGUUUCUAGAUGUCAAGAGUAUCGGAUGACUUUACUAGAUUUAUACUCUGGAUGUGGAGCCAUGUCAACUGGUCUCUGCCUUGGAGCAUCCGUAUCUGGUUUGAAACUGGUUACUAGGUGGGCUGUGGAUAUAAAUUCUAAUGCAUGCGAAAGUCUAAAGUUGAACCAUCCUGAAACUGAGGUGAGAAAUGAAGCAGCAGAAGAUUUCCUAUCUUUGCUUAAGGAGUGGGAAAAGCUUUGUAAAGAAUUUCAAUUGUUGGGUUCCCAUCAAUCAGAAGAUUCCAAUUCUGAACAAAACAGCUUGGACAGUGAUGAUGAUGUUGAUGAUGGCUCUAAGGUUCCUUCUGGAGAGUUCGAAGUGGGAAAAUUACUGGCCAUUUGUUAUGGUGACCCAAACAGUGUCAACAAACAUGGGCUGUAUUUUAAGGUAUAUAGACUUUAACCAAGAAUGACCUAUGAAUGUCU